rnacentral:tRNA from 1 species
AGGAUAAUAGUUAAAUAUAACAUUUAAUUUGCAAUUAAAAAGUAUUGGAAUUCAAUUUAUCUU